rnacentral:rRNA from 1 species
CCUACGGGUGGCAGCAGUGGGGAAUAUUGCACAAUGGGGGAAACCCUGAUGCAGCGACGCCGCGUGUGUGAAGAAGUAUCUCGGUACGUAAAGCUCUAUCAGCAGGGAAGAAAAUGACGGUACCUGACUACGAAGCCCCGGCUAACUACGUGCCAACAGCCGCGGUAAUACGUAGGGGGCAAGCGUUAUCCGGCUUUACUGGUUGUAAGGGGAGCGUAGACGGCAGCACAAGUCUGGAGUGAAAUCCCGGGGCUUAACCCCGGAACUGGUUUGGAAACGGUGCGGCUGGAGUGCAGGAGGGGUAAGCGGAAUGCCUAGUGUAGCGGUGAAAUGCGUAGAUAUUAGGAGGAACACCUGUGGCGAAGGAGGCUUACUGGACUGUAACUGACGUUGAGGCUCGAAAGCGUGGGGAGCAAACAGGAUUAGAUACCCCAGUAGUC